ensembl:snoRNA
UGUGAGGCUAGAGUCUCACCGAGGCAUGACGUUGCCCCGGCGUGCUGGAGUCCUCGGAGAGCAGCCGCUGGCCUUAUUCCCUGGCUGUGGCCCCGUGGCCGGGCCGGUCACCAGGCCAGGGACAGGC